AAUAAAUAUUUAUAAGCUUUUGAAUUGAAAUAUACCUUAAUGCAUAUCUGAGUAAUUAAAAAAUUCAGUUUUUUCGUCCCUCGCGAAGAAACAUAAACAGUAUUUGUGAAAUUUGGAUUAGAAACUAUUAUUUUAUUAGUUUAUUUUGUUGUGUUUAAGUGUUGUGUAUUUGUACCUACUGGAUAAUAUUUUCCAACAUAUUUAAUUAAGCAAAAAGCAUCUGUUUUACAGGUGUGACUGCUAAGUGGUCGUACUCGCCACUAACCAAGCAUUGGUGGGACCUUCAGAGAUCAUAAUGCGAAUUUCUUCAUACCAUGUAAAUCUAUAUACAUGUAUUAAUAAAUGCGUUUGCUUUA